ACUCAUUUAGCUUUGCAUUUGCUCAUUGUAUCAUAUCAUUUUUCAUUAUUUAAGCUUAUUUUGCAUACUUAGGCAUCUACGGUCAUCUUGCAUUCACAUUGCAUGUUUUGGUGUGUUUUCAGGUGCAGAAGGAGCUAAGAAGGACUCUACUCGAUCCAUUCACUCGAUCCAGACAGCUACAGAAGAGGCAUCAUUUCACUCGACCUCUCUACUUGAUCCAGGAUGGUACAAAGGAGGCUGCAGUUGAUUUCACUCGACCUCUCUUACUUGACCCUCUUACUUGACCCUCUUACUCGAUCAAGGCAGCCUCAGAUGAAGCAGAAGAUUGAUUUACUCGCCCCUCCUACUCGAUCCACUACUCGAUCCAUUUACUCGACCAAGGGUGACCAUCUCUACAAGAAUUGUUGAGCUAUCAAAGCGUCUUUGGAUCCUCCUCAUUCCCCACUCAACCAGACAUCUAAGCAUACGGAUAGGAGAGGAAGAAGCAUCUACUCGACCAAUUGAUCACUCGGAGCAUAGACACAAAGGCGCAGACUUUGCAGCACCCUCUUUACUCCAUCCCCAAGAUGAGUAUUCGCCUAAACCGCCUCAAGUCUUUUGUCUUCUAGUGAAUCUAGGGUUUCAACAUUUUAUUAUAAAUAGAUCACUUUGGGGUUUGUCCAAAAGAUCUAUACUUUAUCUUUCAGUUUUUCUUUGUGUUUAUGAAUCUUACAACCUUAAUUACUCUUAAUCUAUUUCGUUUUUGCAUUUGAUUGUUUAAGUAAAGUUGUUUAGGUUGUUUAGAUCUAUAUUUUGGUAUGAUUUCAGUAAUUUCUGGGUUUGUGUUCUUGAGAAUGUUGCUUGAGUAGUGAUUAGGGUUCUUGAGAAAGGAUUAGAUUAGGGUAAUCUCUAGGUUAGUUAGGUGGUUAGUGUUUAGGUUAAUACCCUUCUGGAUUUGCUUGGCCCCUAUGCGGUUUUCGCUGGCUAAUGUGGAGAUUCGGUCAUAGCGUCCAGCGUCCAAAAGACGUUCAAAUGGAUGUCUGACCUACGAAUUCCAAAGAUUUGUAGACUCGACCAAGAGAUUGGCUUGUCUGCCUAUUGGCUUUGGUAGAUUGUUUCUUAAACCCUGCUCUGCCUUGUUUCAUCAACGAGAGUUGAGAUUAGGAAGUGGUAGAGUUAUGGGGGUCUCUGUCACGAGAGUGGAUUGACCCGGUUUUUGAAUCUAUCGUCAUGGGUAUCUAUCUUUUGCCUAUUAGCCAUCUGAUGAACCCUAGAGUUGCCCUUAUCAAUGAAUCCAUCCUUAGAAUUUCUACUAGAUUUAUUUGUAUCCAUGUUGGUUGCACUUUUAUUUACCCGUUAUUUGUAUCCCCUAUUUGUAUCCCCUGUUGAUUGCAUUUUAGUUCUUAAUUUUGUCAUCUGUUGGUUCUACUCGACCCAAUGAUCGAGUAGGCUCUUAAGUUCUCAUUUUUACUUGUUUGAAUCCUGACCUAGGAUUGUUACUAGAAACCCACCAUCAUUAUAAUCUGGCUUGACUUAGUUGCUUUUGUUCACAUCUAGAUUGCUAGCAAUACAGUGGACUGGAUUGACACCCCCUAUAGCUGCAUCGACAUGUUUGUGUUUUAGGGGAAUUGAACUGAAUCACACAUUCAACAUAAGCAGACCUGAAAAACCUGCUUAUCAAUUUGGCGUCGUUGCCAAUUCAUCGUUGCAUUGUUACAUUCAAGAUAUCAGAAACUUUUAAGAUCAAGUUCUUUUACAUUUUUCAAGUUACUAACUCAUCAUUUCGUCUGCUUGUUUUUGUGGUAUAGGUACUAAUCUUUGUGCAUGCAAACUCGAUCCAAAGGUUCUGCACACCUAUUACCAUUCAGAGACAGAAUUGACAGAAUAGCUCAUGAGUUACAAGAAACCAAAGCAAAGGCAGCCUGUGAUCAGCAAAGACCAGCUGCUAUGGAUCAACAGAACAUACCAGUUGAUAUUCAAGACUCACCUAAUGUUGAUCAACCAAGAAACAUUGGUGCUGGUGAUGCCCCAAGGAAUCAUCACGAAAGACAAGGGAUAGUGCCUCCACCAGUUCAGAUUAACAACUUUGAGAUCAAGAGUGGUCUCAUCUCAAUGAUCCAAGGAAACAAGUUUCAUGGUCUACCUAUGGAAGACCCCCUGGACCAUCUUGACAGCUUUGAUAGGCUCUGUGCCCUUACCAAGAUCAAUGGUGUCACUGAAGAUAUGUUUAAGCUCAGACUAUUUCCCUUCUCAUUGGAAGACAAGGCACACCACUAGGAGAAGACUCUACCCCCAGACUCCAUCACCUCAUGGGACGAUUGUAAGAAAGCUUUUCUUGCCAAGGUCUUCUCUAACGCUCGCACCGCUAGAUUGAGGAACGAGAUCUCAGGUUUCAACCAGAAAAACAAUGAAACUUUCUGUGAAGCUUGGAAGAGGUUUAAAAGCUACACCACUCAGUGCCCCCAUCACGGUUUCAAGAAGGCUUCAUUAUUGAGCACACUCUACAGAGGAGCUUUACCAAAGAUCAGGAUGCUACUUGACACUGUCUCCAAUGGAAACUUCCUGAACAAGGAUGUAGUAGAAGGCUGGGAGUUGGUCGAAAAUCUAGCACAAUCUGAUGGGUGCUACAAUGAAGACUAUGAUCGCUCAAUGAGAGGAACUGGAGGAUGUGAGGACAAACAGAGCAAGGAUAUCAAAGCUCUGAAUGAAAAGCUUGACAAGCUGUUGUUGGCUCAACAGAAGCAGAUACACUACAUCACUGAUGAAGAGCACUUCCAAAUGCAAGAAGGGGGGGAGUGAUCAAACUGAAGAGCUGUGCUACAUACAGAACCAAGGAGGGUUCAACAACUACAAGCCCAACCCAAACCUCUCCUACAGAAGCACUAAUGUAGCUAACCCCCAAGAUCAAGUGUAUCCACCUCAACAGAAUCAGUCCAAGCCUUUUGUUCAGUACAACCAAGGUUAUAUCCGUAAAAAAUAGUUUAAUGGAAGCUGCCAACACCAGAUUCCACCACCACGGUUUAGUCAACAACCACAACAAGCCCUAGCAGUUCAAGAUCCUGAAAUUAAGCAACUCAUUCAACAGAUCAUCCAAGGACAAGCUACUGGAGCCAUGGCUUUUGACAAGAAGAUAGCUGAAUUACACAACAAGAUCGAUUGUUCAUACAACGAUCUGAAUGUCAAGUUUGAAGCUCUGAAUUCAAAAAGCAAGUAUGUGGAGAGUCAAUUUGCAUCAACCUUGGCUCCGAAGCAUCCUCAACAAGUUCAAGGGAAAGCAGUCCAAAAUCCUAAGGACUACGCUACUGCAAAAGCUAUCACAAUCCACCAAGAAGAUGAGUCUCCACCAAGUCAUCAGACUCUCAAUACUGAGGACAAUAUGAUUCAAGAAGGGGGGGGAUUCAACUCAAAUUGCUGCACCUACCACCCAGCAAUUCAUCUGGACUAUAGAGCACACACUUUUGCUGAAUACUCAACAUUCUGGAGAAAAGUUCAAAAUUGAAAAACUCAAGAAGGAUCAGAAUCAAGAGAUGAUUAGUAGUGCCUCCACCCAAGAAACAUACAAGAAGAAAGUCAUCCAAGAAAAGCUUGAUGAUCCCGGUUCAUUCACUCUGCAAUGCUCUCUAGGACCAUUGACAUUCAAUAGGUGCCUUUGUGAUUUGGGAGCAUCUGUUAGCCUUAUGCCUCUCUCUACAGCUAAAAGGCUAGGGAUCACGGAUUACAAGUUCUGCAACUUAGCUUUACUCUUAGCUGAUGGUUCUGUUGCACAUCCACAUGACCUAAUAGAGAAUCUGCCUGUCAAGAUUGGAAAUGUUGAGAUACCUACAGAUUUUGUGGUAUUGGACGUAGAUGAAGAAGGCAAGGAUCCCCUGAUCCUAGGCAGACCAUUCUUAGCUUCAGGUGGAGCAGUCAUAGAUGUCAGGAAUGGAAAAAUUAAUCU
rnacentral:sRNA from 1 species